UCCAAGCUCCGCCCCCUAACUCCCCAAUGUUUCUCAACUCUCAGCCAACAGUCCUUGUCUUGAUUCAAAUCCUUAUUACCCACUAGCUGGCAGGUUCAACCGAGACUGGUCACUAGUCUGCUCUGCGAUGUAGCCUCCGAAACUUGAGGCUUUCAGGAUCAAACCCCAAACUCUUGUGCCCCACCCCUCAACCUGACGCGUACAGAGCUACACUUUUCCCUCCGGCCGUGCUAUUUUUGCAGCUUCUAGAAAGGUCCAAGGUUUCGUGCUUCGCCUUUUGGCACUACCUGAGUGUUCCUCCCUGCCUUCUUCCGAAGGGCUAGACGUGGAGGACGGGGCGAGACCCUCCUUCCGCAUUCCAAGAGUACACGGAGUCGCCAACGAUCUUCUUUUCAGCCCGUUUGCCCACUCCACUGAGUCCUUCCCAGCCAAGGGCCAAGUCCUUGAACAGUGCCUGUGAUUACGACCGCGGAUACUGGCUGAGGCCACGGAACCACAGCAGAAGAAUGAAUAUGAGCGACCUAUUGGCUGUUUAAAAGUUCCAGUCCACCAAGACUAAAGACUGAGGUGGAACUAAUAGUUGGCUUAAACAUAGUGGGAAAACAAAACAAAACACUGGCACUGGGGUUAUGACCUUCCUUGAAACUUUGUGAGACCAGCCAUGAAGGGAAUGGGCACAUGAAGGGCAAUGUCCACAGGCCGGUAAAAGUUCCAGAGACCAAGAGCAGAUAUGCUACCCGUGACUUCAUCCCUUUACCCCCUCCCACACCUUUCCCCCAAAAAGAAAGAAUACUGGAAUGCAAGUGUGUGAAUACUGCAUGAAUAAGAAUGUUACUACAAGUUAAGUCACUUAUCAUUCUGAUGAUGUGAGAACAGGUAAACUAUUCUUGACAUAUAAUGAGUGAAUAAGACUCAGGCAUGAUGCUAUAACACUCAGUAUGAGAACCAGUAUACAAGACACUCUCUAAACUCAACUUAUAUUAUGACACACAUGCAGUAUCACACCAGGCUGACGAAUCAGAUAGCUUAUUAGCUUUUAUCCUUAUCAAAUCUUUGCUGAACUCUUCAAAAAAUGCCAUCUGUGACAUGCCAUGGAGAUUUUGUCAGGAUUAAGGCACCUAAGGGCAGAUGGGCAUCAUCUGAUAAGAGAAAAAUGGGGAUUUUUUCAGAAUAAGAAUUAUGGACUGAAAUGUCUAGGAACCAAUCUAUUCUAAACCAUCAUGUUAAAAUGUGUUUAUCUCUAAGGAGAGCAUUGGACAGUUCAGAACCCUUCAGGGUGGCAGUUCCUCAGGGCUGCAGUCUGUUCGCACACAAUUCUGAAACACCAUCUAUCCUUCUACCUGCAUUCUGACAGGAGGAUGCAGCGUGCUGUCCAGGGGCUACUGGCCGUGUGACACCAUGACAGACUGGAUGCAGAUACAGAUAAGAGAAUCCAGCUGACUUCUGAGCCGGACAUUAAAACAAAGCCA